CACUGCUAUCGGGGUUCGAUUAAGCCAUGCGAGUCGAGAGGGUUCAGACCCUCGGCGCACUGCUCAGUAACACGUGGAUAACCUACCCUGAGGAGGGGGAUAACCCCGGGAAACUGGGGAUAAUACCUCAUAGGUUUCAGAUGCUGGAAUGCUCUGAAACCGAAAUGCUCCGGCGCCUCAGGAUGGAUCUGCGGCCGAUUAGGUUGUUGUUGGGGUAACGGCCCAACAAGCCCGUCAUCGGUACGGGUUGUGAGAGCAAGAGCCCGGAGAUGGAUUCUGAGACACCAAUCCAGGCCCUACGGGGCGCAGCAGGCGCGAAACCUUUACAAUGCGAGCAAUCGUGAUAAGGGAACCCCGAGUGCCUGAAACCAGGCUGUUCAGGUGUUUAAAAAGCACCUGGAGAAAGGGCCGGGCAAGACCGGUGCCAGCCGCCGCGGUAAUACCGGCGGCUCGAGUGGUGGCCGCUAUUAUUGGGCUUAAAGCGUUCGUAGCUGGGUUGUUAAGUCUCUUGGGAAAUCUCACGGUUCAACCGUGAGGCGACUAAGAGAUACUGGCAAUCUUGGGACCGGGAGAGGUGAGAGGUACUCC
rnacentral:rRNA from 1 species